AGCGUAGGCGGGAUUGCAAGUCAGAUGUGAAAUGCAGGGGCUCAACCCCUGAGCUGCAUUUGAAACUGUAGUUCUUGAGUGAAGUAGAGGUAAGCGGAAUUCCUGGUGUAGCGGUGAAAUGCGUAGAUAUCAGGAGGAACAUCGGUGGCGAAGGCGGCUUACUGGGCUUUUACUGACGCUGAGGCUCGAAAGCGUGGGGAGCAAACAGGAUUAGAUACCCCCGUA
rnacentral:rRNA from 1 species